rnacentral:rRNA from 1 species
CCUUAGAGUUUGAUCCUGGCUCAGAGCGAACGCUGGCGGCAGGCUUAACACAUGCAAGUCGAGCGGGCGUAGCAAUACGUCAGCGGCAGACGGGUGAGUAACGCGUGGGAACGUACCUUUUGGUUCGGAACAACACAGGGAAACUUGUGCUAAUACCGGAUAAGCCCUUACGGGGAAAGAUUUAUCGCCGAAAGAUCGGCCCGCGUCUGAUUAGCUAGUUGGAGAGGUAACGGCUCACCAAGGCGACGAUCAGUAGCUGGUCUGAGAGGAUGAUCAGCCACAUUGGGACUGAGACACGGCCCAAACUCCUACGGGAGGCAGCAGUGGGGAAUAUUGGACAAUGGGGGCAACCCUGAUCCAGCCAUGCCGCGUGAGUGAUGAAGGCCCUAGGGUUGUAAAGCUCUUUUGUGCGGGAAGAUAAUGACGGUACCGCAAGAAUAAGCCCCGGCUAACUUCGUGCCAGCAGCCGCGGUAAUACGAAGGGGGCUAGCGUUGCUCGGAAUCACUGGGCGUAAAGGGUGCGUAGGCGGAUCUUUAAGUCAGAGGUGAAAGCCUGGAGCUCAACUCCAGAACUGCCUUUGAUACUGGGGAUCUUGAGUUCGGGAGAGGUGAGUGGAACUGCGAGUGUAGAGGUGAAAUUCGUAGAUAUUCGCAAGAACACCAGUGGCGAAGGCGGCUCACUGGCCCGAUACUGACGCUGAGGCACGAAAGCGUGGGGAGCAAACAGGAUUAGAUACCCUGGUAGUCCACGCCGUAAAC